GAUGAACGCUGGCGGUGUGCCUAACACAUGCCAGUCGAGCGACCGCACGAGAAGCUCGUUUUUCUGAUGUUAGCGGCGGACGGGCGAGUAACACGUGCAUCACCAACUAAUAUUUCUUGGAUAAUUUCGGGAGAACGGUGCCAAUACCAGCUCAUAUUUUCAACUGCAUGGUUCAAAAGAUCUUGACAGCUUUGCCGAUACAUUUAGCUGGAUCCGCGCUGCAUUAGCUAGUUGGUAAGGUAACGGCUUACCAAGGCAACGAUGCAUAGCCGACCUGAGAGGGUGAUCGGCCACACUGGAACUGAGACACGGUCCAGACUCCUACGGGAGGCAGCAGUAGGGAAUCUUCCGCAAUGGGCGAAAGCCUGACGGAGCAACGCCGCGUGAGUGAUGAAGGUCUUCGGAUCGUAAAACUCUGUUAUUAGGGAAGAACAUAUGUGUAAGUAACUGUGCACAUCUUGACGGUACCUAAUCAGAAAGCCACGGCUAACUACGUG
rnacentral:rRNA from 1 species